UGUGUGUGUGUGUCGGUCUCUGGGGUUACGGGGACAAAUUUCCUGAAAAGUCCAAGAGCAAGGAGGACUAGGUGAGCUAUGAGGACAGUUGUCCUUUUUAUGAGGACAGCUGUGCAUGUCCUCAUAAAAAUGAGCAUUAUAAAGUGAUUUUUCAGCAUGUUAUAGCUACCAAAACGUGUUUUUCUCCAAAGACCUGUUAAAUAUAAAGUCCAAAAUACAAUGUUGUUUUAAAAAAAUGUUUCUCAUAUCACGUUUUAAUACUAAAAACGGGUUUUUUAUCAAAAGUCUUGCUAUACCAAAAAACCUGACAUAUUGUGUAUGCCUGUGUGUCCGCCACUGCCCCCUUUCGAUGGUAGGUGGUCCUGCACAGGAGCAUACACAGGCGCGGGAAAUUAUACACAAGCGCGGGUAAUUAUACACAGGCGCGGGAGAUUAUACACAGGCGCGGGAAUGUAAUGCAUAUUGCAACGUCAUUGGCUGAAUAGGAGGAAGUACCUAAGCUUACACUUGCAGCGACACGCCCCGACCUUGGAUCCGUGGAGAAGACAUGGCGGAGAUCGGAAUCCCAACCAAGAUCAGAGUGUCAGUCAUCCACGACCACACCCAACAUCACUGCUUGUGAGAGUCCCAACCAAUAUCAGAGUGUCAGUCAUCCACGACCACACCAGACAUCACUACUAGUGAGGUAAGUGACUGCUUCCUUGCGCCACUGAGCAAUGUGUGCAGAAACUUUAGAGCUUUGCUACUGGAAGAAUGAGUGGGCCUCAUCAAUUGUAGUGUCCUUUCAAACAUGUUUUUUUUUUCUGAUUUUGCGCCACACAUGCAGCUCAAUACACUCGCCUCCAGAAGAGUUGUCGCCUACCCAUCUGUUUGGAAUAACAGCUAAUAACCUGACUUUCAAUUAAUCACUUGGCUUCAGAAGUCACUCUUAUGAAAGCUA